UACGUAGGGGGCAAGCGUUGUCCGGAAUCAUUGGGCGUAAAGAGCGUGUAGGCGGCUUGGUAAGUCCGCUGUGAAAGUCCAGGGCUCAACCCUGGAAAGCCGGUGGAAACUGUCAAGCUUGAGUCCGGAAGAGGCGAGUGGAAUUCCUGGUGUAGCGGUGAAAUGCGCAGAUAUCAGGAAGAACACCCGUGGCUAAGGCGGCUCUCUAGUACGGUACUGACGCUGAGACACGAAGGCGUGGGGAGCAAACGGG
rnacentral:rRNA from 1 species